UGGGGAAUAUUUGACAAUGGGCGCAAGCCUGAUCCAGCCAUGCCGCGUGAGUGAUGAAGGCCCUAGGGUUGUAAAGCUCUUUUACCGGUGAAGAUAAUGACGGUAACCGGAGAAGAAGCCCCGGCUAACUUCGUGCCAGCAGCCGCGGUAAUACGAGGGGGGCUAGCGUUGUUCGGAUUUACUGGGCGUAAAGCGCACGUAGGCGGACUUUUAAGUCAGGGGUGAAAUCCCGGGGCUCAACCCCGGAACUGCCUUUGAUACUGGAAGUCUUGAGUGUGGUAGAGGUGAGUGGAAUUCCGAGUGUAGAGGUGAAAUUCGUAGAUAUUCGGGGGAACACCAGUGGCGAAGGCGGCUCACUGGACCAUUACUGACGCUGGGGUGCGAGAGCGUGGAGAGCAAACAGG
rnacentral:rRNA from 1 species